rnacentral:rRNA from 1 species
CGGACGGGUGAGUAACGCGUGGGUAACCUGCCUCAUACAGGGGGAUAACAGUUAGAAAUGACUGCUAAUACCGCAUAAGCGCACGAGGAUGCAUGUUCUUGUGUGAAAAACUCCGGUGGUAUGAGAUGGACCCGCGUCUGAUUAGCUAGUUGGAGGGGUAACGGCCCACCAAGGCGACGAUCAGUAGCCGACCUGAGAGGGUGACCGGCCACAUUGGGACUGAGACACGGCCCAAACUCCUACGGAAGGCAGCAG